rnacentral:rRNA from 1 species
GAUGAACGCUAGCGGCAGGCCUAAUACAUGCAAGUCGAACGGUGUCUUCGGACAUAGUGGCGCACGGGUGCGUAACACGUAUGCAACCUACCUUACAUUGGGGGAUAGCCUUUCGAAAGGGAGAUUAAUAACGCAUAAGACAGUAGCUGGGCAUCCAGCAGCUGUUAAAGAUUUAUCGAUGUAAGAUGGGCAUGCGUCCAAUUAGAUAGUUGGUAAGGUAACGGCUCACCAAGGCAAUGAUUGGUAGGGGAACUGAGAGGUCAAUCCCCCACACUGGCACUGAGAUACGGGCCAGACUCCUACGGGAGGCAGCAGUAGGGAAUAUUGGGCAAUGGACGCAAGUCUGUCCCAGCCAUGCCGCGUGCAGGAUGAAGGCGUUAUGCGUUGUAAACUGCUUUUAUACAGGAAGAAACGACUCUUGCGAGAGGCAUUGACGGUACUGUAUGAAUAAGCACCGGCUAACUCCGUGCCAGCAGCCGCAGUAACAC